AUAAUUUUAUUCCCAAAAAUUAUGAAAUCAUCAACAUAUGAGUGCCCACAAAAAUUAUAUGACUUGAUAACCAUGCACUAAACUUUUCAUUGUGUACCCAAAAAGAAAAAACUAAAACUGUCAUUCUUUUUAUGUAAAAGUUAAUCGUAUUGAACUGCUUUUUUAGAGAAAAAGUAAGCAAAAUGCAUCAAAAGUAACCUAGACGUUGAUGAGAUCUGAAUGAAGUUUAUGGGAAAUCAUUACUCAAAUUUCAAUAGAAAGAAAAAUUUAAUAUCUAUCCAGAACUAAUGAACAAAAUUACUGAAUAAAUUUACUGAUCAGAAAAUACAAGUAUCUGAUGAAAUACGUUAUGUAUGUUGGAGGCAGAUUCAAGAUUUAAAGUUUAUGGUUCUUACGACGAUCUCAAGUAUACAAUAAUAAUUGAGUUCGCAAUUAAAAGAAGUUUUUAAAUAUAUUUAGCGAUUUUUUUUAAUACAAAUAAAUAGUUUGCACAAAAAUUACGCGAUUCACGUUAACUUAAGGCUAGAUCCGUCUCUAAUAUACUUAUUUGCAUUCACUGUUUACACUAGCCAAACAAAUUGACCUUAGCAAUUAAAAAUUAAAGUGGGAAUAUAUAUUGUUUGAUCACGGUCAGAUCGAUAAAUGUCUACAUAAAACAUACAUAUCAUGCGUUCAUUUUUAAUUCAAACACAGAAUGUAAAUAAAUUUUUUACAUGAAAUAAUUAAAGGGGCAGACACCUAACUCAGACAUAUCAUUAUCAAACAAGUAUUUGUGUAUAUAUAUUGUAUAAAUACAUGUAUAUUUGUAUUUACAUGAAAAUGCAAAAAGCUAGGGAUAAGUCAUUGUCCAGAUCACAUAAAUUGCCCCACCACAUCAUAGUUUUGUCAAGGAUGACGUAGUAACCCUACCACACUCAAUUUUCCUAGGUAUGUGUCAAUGAUGUCAUUUGCCAAUAGUGCAUGCUUUUCUCGUCACUUCACCAUCCCAUCUUUUUUCUUCCACACGAAUUUUGCUAUUCUUGAGUCUAGCCAAAUCCCUAUCCCCGUACGGACAAAGAUUACAUGUUUAAAAAAAUAUACUCAUUUAUUUUCUUAUAAGCAGACAAAUUCUCGAAGGUCAGUAAUGUACUGUUCGACAUUCAGAUCGAUAAGUAAUAAGUUCGCUUUUAUCUUUCUCCAUUUUACAGUCGGCAAAGUUUGAAUUUCUUAAGUACGUAUUAUCAUAUCACGUAUUAUUAGUGGCGGAAUCAGAAUUUUUACUUAGGGGGUUCAGAAAUAUGAAGAAGUAAAUAUACAAAGAAGCCAAGGGAGUUCAACAUCUAUUAUAUAUAUAUAAGAUAAUAACUUUAACCUUAGAUAUACAGUGUAAUUAUUCGCCGAGGGGAUUCGAACUCCCUGGAGCCUAUCUAGCUCCGCCCCUGCAUAUUGCUAUCUUAUCUAAUAGAUAUUUCCUGUCUCAUUUUUCUUAUUAGUUUGUCCCCAAAAAAUCGAUAAAUUUCUAUAUUUAGAAAUUAUUUAACUUAAUGAGAUGAUUUAUAACCACAUAAGUAUUUAAAAUUUAUUUUGGACCAUAUAUUUUAAAAGUCUUCUUUUAUUUUUUAAACUUUGUGUCAAGUUAAACUAAUGCAGACAGAGGAAGUAAAACCCUACAAGCAAAAAACUUAUUUGUCAUUUUUUCUUAUAACCAACAAAGUUUCGACAAUUAGUAGUGUCCUAUUCGAAACUCAAAGAGAUUAUGAGUCUGAUUAUUUAUUCCUCAUUUAAAUAUCAGACUAUUAUCUACAAUAAAAUUCGAGCUCGUGGUAUGCGCUUAAUAUAUACCUAUAUCACGUAUUAUUCUCUUACCAAUAGAUAAAACCUUAAAGAAAACAAACCUAUUACCAAUUUUUCUUAUAACCAACAAAUUCCUUAGCGUUAGUAGCAUACUGUUCGAAUAUAUAAUGAACUCAUUUUUUAUAUUUUUCACUUAAUAUCAUACUUUUAUAGAAGUAUAAUAUGUUCAAACUUGUGACGUGCACUUAACUUAUGAGAAGAAUACAUAAAUACCCCCUUGGAAAUGACACAUUUUUUCAAUAAGACACCUAAACUUUGCGGGGGUCCUAACACCCCCUUAAUCUUGUUUACAGUGGAUUUAUCACCCCCUUAUGAGCCUACUUGGCAUAUAGAGUGUAUUCACUCUCCAAUAGCGCGUGAGGUAAGUUUUUUUUUUGUUUUUUUUUUUUAAUUCAUUUCAGCAUUUGUUUCAUUAAAAAUACCUUUUCCUUUUACUUUAUUUAUUUUAUUUAAUAUUUUCUUUUCCCUUAUCUUCUUCAAAGAAGAAGACCCAAUUGGUUACCCUUUUUUUUCUUCUAUGGACUUUUCCAAAUCGUCCUUAUUCUCUGUCUUUUUUUGCUUUUGAUUUUUGUUAUGGAGAUUGGGGUAAGUCAUUGGAGAUGGAAUAGUGGUUUGAAGAAAUGAAGAGUGGUUACUACUUGCGUGCUAUAUAUCUUUUCUAUGUGUGGAGAAGCAUGAGUACACCAUUCAGCUGCUAGUAUAUUGGCAGUUGAAGGUCAUGCUGGUAUAAGGCUAUUAUAGUUUGCGUAUGGAGUCUCAAUUUGGAAAAAUCGGAGAUGUUGCGACCCCAUUAGUAGUCAUUUUGAAACUACCUCUUCAUUAAUUUAAGGGUCUUGCUUCUUUUGUUACUUCAGAAUAGAAAAAGGAGAGCAGGGUGUUACAGAAUACAAUGCCGAUGAUGGAAGGUGGAUAACUUCGGGGCAGUUCUCUAGCAUGGAUGGAAGUGCCUUGAAUAGCUGCAACUGGUUGUGCCUCCUAGUGUAUAUGUCUUGUUUGGUUACCCGGGAAUAGAAAAGAUGAGCAACUUAUGUGGAGAUUUCAGAUGAUGCUGAGGUUAGAUAGUCUCUAGGUAUGGAGUACUGAAGUAUUAUGGACCCAAACGGAGCAUUUAUGAUAUUGAGAAUACAUACAGCCGACCCCAACUACCUUGGGAUUAGGCGUAAUUGUUAUUGUUGUUGUUUCAGAUGAGGAAGUCUUUUCUCGAGCUCUCAAGCGUUUUACUGAGUAAAAGCUCAGUGAAGGAUGGACAGUAUGUCACUCUUGUCCAAAGUGGAGCACGACCAAUCUAGCGUGGAAAAUCUAUUUACCAUAUACAAAUUCGUAAGGUCAAAAGUUGAUUUUGUGCCAUAACAUUUUAUUUAAGUAGAAAUCAUGUUGUGUUGUGUAGUUGGUAUCUAGGCUAUAGUUUUGUCAUUUUCUCUUACAUACAGUUUCCUUUUUAGCUGAACUUGUUCCUUCUGUGAUGAAAUAUAGAAGUUCCUUAAGGGUGUAAUUUUUUGCGAUGGCAGAGUUUUUUUUAUAAUUGUUACAUCAAUUAGGUUGCUGCAUCAAACAAUGUCUUCAACAAUGUGGGAAAUCUGAUUGUCCAUGGUUGACGUUUA